rnacentral:lncRNA from 1 species
GAGAGCUCCUUUAGCAAACCAACAAAGGGCAACUGUCAACUUGCUCCUUCUAGAAAUCUUUCUCUUCACAAUUGCUUGCACCUCACUAAGUAUCCUUCACCACCCUGCCUCAUCUCAAGUCACCUUUAAAGAAAAUGAGAAAUCAGCUCCAGAUAGAUAAAGGAUCAAUAAUAAACAAUUUUUUGACUUUACUGAAGGAUAGAGGAAAACAGGGGUGCCUGGGUGGCUCUGUCAGUUGAGUGUCCAACUUGAUUUUGGCUUAGGUCAUGAUCCCAGGGUUGUGGGAUUAAGCCUUGAGUCGGGCUCUGUGCUGAGCAUGGAGCCUGUUUAAGAUUCUCUCUCUCUCUCUCUCUCUCUCUCUCUCUCCAUAUGUGUGUGUAUACAUAUAUAUAUGUAUAUAUAUAUGAUAUAUAUAUGUUAAAAAAAAAAAAAGAAUAGAGAAAACAAUCCCAGAUGCUGUUGGAGCCAUUUGUGAUAACUAAUACAAGGAUUCUAUCAUCAGAAACAAGAAGACUGAAUACAA